UCCAGCCAGGUUUUAGCAGGGGUCUGGGAAAGACAUACGGCAGCGGACUGGAACAGGCUAACAGGCUAACGCUACGCUAACUUGGCCCCUCCGGAUUGUGGGACAGGGAGCCCCCAUGAGCUGUUCAUGCUGACCCGGCCUGCUUGCUGGGUGCGUGGGCCAGGUUGAUCAUGUGCACCACGAUCCUGAUCAUCUCGACCCUGUCAGUCAUUCUGCGCAGACGAUUCAACAACCGAGUCAAACCCCAUCCGGACGAGCUGGGGGAGAAAGAGAUGGCAUACGUGCAGAGAGAACUGCAGUCCAUGGAGAAGUGAGGCUCACCGCGCUGUCAGGCAUCAGUUGCAGUAAAUUAGUCAAAUUGGAAUCUGGAGCCGCUCUUCCCCAAAUGCAUCUGGCUGGCUAGUCUUUGUUUCCAUGGCAAUACCAGUGAAGCUUCCUGGAUGAUCCUCAGGCAGCAGCAACCAGUGGUGACCAGGCUGUAUGGAAAGAAAAGGAACAGAUGUGGGUCCAGGAUGUAGAACAUGUCCUCGGUUCAACGGCUAGGCAACUGUGUGCUUCCCUGGAUAAAUAUCCUCACCACGAGCCUGGGGAUGGCUCAAACCACUUCUCCCCUUCCUUCCAAGACUGGUUUCCCUCCCGUCAUCCAGCCCUUACUUACAGACAGCUGUAGGUCCUCUGCACCCACAGACAGAAGAGCUAAGCCAUGGACCACACUGCUCAGCAGCUAAAAUGGACAAUAGCAGCAUGAAGCCUUCCUCGUUGAUUGUUUUGAAAUGCUUACUGGUGUGAAUCAUCUAGAAACCAUCACAGGUAGCGCUGCCACAGAGGAGGAGUCAAAGAUCUUCAGUUAUAUACCAGAGACACCAAAGCUCAUGAAAAUACAUUUCUAACCUUGUCCGACUCUGCAUUGAAAGCUAAGAGGAACAGAGGGGAUGCAACCGUUCUAAAGCAUGAUGUCUACUCCUCUAUGAUAAGUUGCUGUUUGACAUUCUGGAGAGGUGUAAUCAUAUGAAGACACAGAUGUCCUCCAAGAGUCACACUCUAAUAAAGGAUGAUGGAAAGUCAAACAGAGACCAGAGUUUACAGUCUGGCCUUCUGUGGUCCAAGAGGCUAGAGACCAAUUCUUCCCUCACACCACCCUCCCCUCAAUUAAAUAAACAAGAUAUUUGU